rnacentral:lncRNA from 1 species
CGCCAAUAGCAGCCUAUUCCGGCGUAUAUUUCAACGCCUUUGAACAGAAAUGAAGAUUUGCACGUAUCGUUCGUUAUAAUCUAAACCUAUGCAACAUUAUGCACUUUCUGAAACGUUUAUGAAUAUCAAUAGGUUAUUAUUAACUCACCAACAUCGGAAUUCGCUUCCAUGAUCAAUUGAAACGCGGUUUGAUUCGAUGUUGUGUUGGCCGUGUUUUCUUCUGAUGUCAAAUUAUUCAGAGUAAAAUUGCCAUCUUCUGGUGCAUUUGUACUUAUGGUUCGCAGUUCGUCAGUCGAGUUGGGAUAUUCUGGUAUAGAUUCUGUUGUAUAUUCUGGUACCAAUUCUGCGCUGGCUACGACCAGUAGAAACGCCACCAUAAAGGACCACAUUUUUGUGACCGUGACACUGGCCAAGGGUUGCUUGGUUUCUUCAAUGCGUAAAUGACGGGACACAGACAGUAUAGGGAAAGCAAUACAAUGUUAUUGUUGAGUAUAUGUGUCUCUUAUAUCGCUAUAAGUAGUUCGACCGGAAAUGCGUCAUGGG